rnacentral:rRNA from 1 species
CAGCCAUGCCGCGUGUGUGAAGAAGGCCCUCGGGUUGUAAAGCACUUUCAGCGAGGAAGAACGCCUAGCGGUUAAUACCCGCUAGGAAAGACAUCACUCGCAGAAGAAGCACCGGCUAACUCCGUGCCAGCAGCCGCGGUAAUACGGAGGGUGCAAGCGUUAAUCGGAAUUACUGGGCGUAAAGCGCGCGUAGGUGGCUUGAUAAGCCGGUUGUGAAAGCCCCGGGCUCAACCUGGGAACGGCAUCCGGAACUGUCAAGCUAGAGUGCAGGAGAGGAAGGUAGAAUUCCCGGUGUAGCGGUGAAAUGCGUAGAGAUCGGGAGGAAUACCAGUGGCGAAGGCGGCCUUCUGGACUGACACUGACACUGAGGUGCGAAAGCGUGGGUAGCAAACAGGAUUAGAUACCCUGGUAGUCCACGCCGUAAACGAUGUCGACCAGCCGUUGGGUGCCUAGCGCACUUUGUGGCGAAGUUAACGCGAUAAGUCGACCGCCUGGGGAGUACGGCCGCAAGGUUAAAACUCAAAUG